rnacentral:rRNA from 1 species
UCGAGAAUCUUUCGCAAUGGGCGCAAGCCUGACGAAGCGACGCCGUGUGAGCGAAGAAGGCCUUCGGGUUGUAAAGCUCUUUCGCUAGGGAACAAGAGAGGUAGGAUAACACCCUGCUAAUUUGAUGGUACUUGGUAAAGAAGCACCGGCUAACUCCGUGCCAGCAGCUGCGGUAAUACGGAGGGUGCAAGCAUUGAUCGGAAUUACCGGGCGUAAAGGGCGCGUAGGCGGCUUGAAAAGUCGAGUGUGAAAUUCCAGGGCUCAACCCUGGAGCUGCAUUCGAAACUUUCGAGCUAGAGAGUAGUUAGGGUAAACGGAAUUCCACGUGUAGCGGUGAAAUGCGUAGAUAUGUGGAAGAACACCAGUGGUGUAGACGGUUUACUGGGCUAUAUCUGACGCUGAGGCGCGAAAGCAUGGGGAGCAAACAGG